AAGAGGCGAAAAUAAAACGAACGAAGUUCGUUUCUUAAAAUAUUUUCGCCGACCAGCCGCUGACCGAAGGGAGGGGGCAUUACCGUAU
rfam:Eubacterium sp. CAG:156 genomic scaffold, scf159